rnacentral:rRNA from 1 species
UACGAGUGCCCCGAGCGUUAUCCGGAAUCAUUGGGCGUAAAGGGUGUGUAGGUGGUUAUGUUAGUCGCUUGUUAAAACCCGGGGCUUAACCCCGGAAUCGCGAGCGAAACGGCAUGACUAGAGGAUGGCAGGGAUGUAUGGAACUCAUGGAGUAGGGGUGAAAUCCGUUGAUAUCAUGGGGAACACCAAAAGCGAAGGCGGCAUCCUGGACCGGCAUUGACGCUGAGGCGCGAAAGCUAGGGUAGCAAACGGG